AGCAGCCGCGGUAAUACGGAGGAUCCAAGCGUUGUCCGGAUUUACUGGGUUUAAAGGGUGCGUAGGCGGGUUAUUAAGUCAGUGGUGAAAGUUUGCAGCUUAACUGUAAAAGUGCCAUUGAAACUGAUAACCUUGAGUAUAGUUGAGGUGGAUGGAAUGUAUCAUGUAGCGGUGAAAUGCUUAGAUAUGAUACAGAACACCGAUUGCGAAGGCAGUUCACUAAACUAUAACUGACGCUGAGGCACGAAAGCGUGGGGAGCGAACAGG
rnacentral:rRNA from 1 species